rnacentral:rRNA from 1 species
GUUAUAGGUCUUCUUAUAGCUGCUGCCGGUGGACCAUUAAACUCUUGUUAUUUUAUGUAAUCUGAGCGUCUUAUUUUAAUAAGUCAAAACUUUCAACAACGGAUCUCUUGGUUCUGGCAUCGAUGAAGAACGCAGCGAAAUGCGAUAAGUAAUGUGAAUUGCAGAAUUCAGUGAAUCAUCGAAUCUUUGAACGCACAUUGCGCCCAUUAGUAUUCUAGUGGGCAUGCCUGUUCGAGCGUCAUUUCAACCCUUAAGCCUAGCUUAGUGUUGGGAAUCUACUUCUUUAUAGUUGUAGUUCCUGAAAUACAACGGCGGAUUUGUAGUAUCCUCUGAGCGUAGUAAUUUUUUUCUCGCUUUUGUUAGGUGCUAUAACUCCCAGCCGCUAAACCCCCAAUUUUUUGUGGUUGACCUCGGAUCAGGUAGGAAUACCCGCUGAACUUAAGCAUAUCAAUAAGCGGAGGAAAAGAAACCAACAGGGAUUGCCUUAGUAACGGCGAGUGAAGCGGCAACAGCUCAAAUUUGAAAUCUGGCCCUUGGGUCCGAAUUGUAAUUUGUAGAGGAUGAUUUUGGUGCGGUAUCUUCCGAGUUCCUUGGAACAGGACGCCUUAGAGGGUGAGAGCCCCGUACGGUUGAAUGCCUAGCCUCUGUAAAUCUCCUUCGACGAGUCGAGUAGUUUGGGAAUGCUGCUCUAAAUGGGAGGUAAAUUUCUUCUAAAGCUAAAUAUUGGCCAGAGACCGAUAGCGCACAAGUAGAGUGAUCGAAAGAUGAAAAGCACUUUGAAAAGAGGGUUAAAUAGCACGUGAAAUUGUUGAAAGGGAAGGAUUUGUGACCAGACUUUUUCUGGGCGGAUCAUCCGGGGUUCUCUCCGGUGCACUUCGCCCAGUAAAGGCCAGCAUCGGUUUUCGGCGUGGGAUAAAAGCAGUAGGA